rnacentral:rRNA from 1 species
GACGAACGCUGGCGGCGUGCUUUACACAUGCAAGUCGAACGGAAAGGCCCCGCUAUUGUCGGGCGCUCGAGUGGCGAAUGGGUGAGUAACCCGUGCGUAACCUGUCCUUGACUUUGGGAUAACUUAAGGAAACUUGGGAGAAUACCGGAUCGGAGCUUCUGCUGCAUGGUGGGGGUUGGAACGUUUCGGCGGUUGGGGAUGGAUGCGCGGCUUAUCACCUUGUUGGUGAGGCAGUGGCUUCCCAAGGCUUUGACCGGUAGCCGGCCUGGGAGCGUGACCGGCCACAAUAGGACUGAGGUACGGCGCAGACGCCAACGGAGGGCAACAGUGGGGAGCAUUACACAAUGGGCGGAAGCCUGGUGCAGCAACACCGCGUGCGGGAAGACGGCCUUCAGGUAGUAAACCGCUUUCGCCUGUGACGAAGCGUGAGUGACGGUAAUGGAUAAAGAAGCACCGGCUAACUACGUG